UACGUAGGGUGCGAGCGUUGUCCGGAAUUAUUGGGCGUAAAGAGCUCGUAGGCGGUUCGUCGCGUCGGAUUGUGAAAACCCGGGGCUCAACUCCGGGCUUGCACUCGAUACGGGCGGACUUAGAGUUCGGGUAGGGGAGACUGGAAUUCCUGGUGUAGCGGUAGAAAUGCGCAGAUAUCAGGAGGAACACCGGUGGCGAAGGCGGGUCUCUGGGCCGAUACUGACGCUGAGGAGCGAAAGCGUGGGGAGCGAACAGG
rnacentral:rRNA from 1 species